AUUCAACUGACGAGUCCCAAAUAGGACGAAAUGCUGGUCCUGGAU
rnacentral:hammerhead_ribozyme from 1 species